AGCUUUGCGCAGUGGCAGUAUCGUAGCCAAUGAGGUUUAUCCGAGGCGCGAUUAUUGCUAAUUGAAAGUACAAGCAGGGAUCCCUGGGUGGCGCAGCGGUUUGGCGCCUACCUUUGGCCUAGGGCGCGAUCCU
rnacentral:snRNA from 1 species